rnacentral:sRNA from 1 species
UGAACUAAUGGUUUAUAAAAAUACGCGCC